GCUCUAGUGGCCUAGUGGUUAGAGCAUCUGCCUCAGAUGCAGGAGGUCAUGUGUUAAAACCCCUGCAGAAUCACAACAAAGACU